UGCAUUAAUAACAAGUACCUCCACUUGGAAGUUAUUUACAUAAAGCAUUGUUCUCACAUCACUGCCACUGACAGCGGCUCCGGACUGGGUGAGAGAAGGACACCGAGAUGAAUUCAGCCAUACUUACCUUACUGUGCUGCGUGAGAUGAGGAGAGUUCAAAGACCUCAGAGCAAGUUUAAAACCUUAAUCACUGAACAAUGCUUCCACCUGCCUCUUGGUUUUCUCUGGGGACCUUCCAGCGCUGGCCAGUCCUGACCCUAUCUGACUUACUUCAGGGACAAUCCCAGUGUCUCAGGCUCUGAAAAAAGGGUGAAACAGCGACUGGAAAUGCUGCUCAAGCCAGCUUACAUGCUGAUCAGGAUCUGCUGCAGCCUGGGAAUAAUCUGGCACCAGCUUCUUGGGCAGGCAAGUAAAUCCUUACUGACAUCAAUGAACUGAAAAAUUCUGAGGCCUGGCAGUGACAAAGGGAAUAGUGAAUGAGAGCAGUAUUUCUUUAUAUUGAUCUACCUUUCCUCAUCUACUAAUAACACUGACUGUUUACCCUCUGUAAUAAGCUGUGAUGGGUGCUACGUGGGUCUUUGCUUUCCAGUUCUCCAGAGUCAGUACACACAGACCAAAAAACCUCCCAGUAAACAAGCUGGCUAGGACUAGAUAAAAUUAAGUGCAUUAAUAUUGUUGAAGCUUGCAAUUCAAACUCUUGUUUGACAAAUUUAGACACUGAUUUUAUACCUAAGAAUUCCUUCAACCAAUACUUGUGUCUUUAACUCUGUCUACCAGACAGGAAGAGCAGACUGCCUGCAAGAGAAGGGAUGGGUUCCCCACUUGGGGAUCCUUGGCAGAUGCUGAUGACUUUAUGGAGGAAAUUGGAGUUGAUUCUGUUCUUUGCAUUUCUGCUAUUAAUGGUACUUCUCAAGCUAUUUCUGCGCAUCACCAAAGGUAGCAGUGUGCGAGCAAUUAAGCCCAAAAUAAUAUAAUUCUUCAUCAGUUUCUCAAUCAAGAUUUGGUAUGCUUCAAAGAUACAAGGCUGCUUCUGAGAAGUGCCGAAAUACAGGAUAAUUUCAAAGCCUGAGGAAAGUGCGGUGUGACAAGUGGAUGCAACUGAAGUCUGUAAGAUGAUGCAAAAGACUAUUAGGAAUGAGGAUUUAAGAACACCUAGUGUACCUCCACACAACACACAGUUAAACUGUGGAACUCAAUAGCCCAGGAUGUUGUGAGUAUAAAAAAUGUCUAUGGCCUUAAAAAGUGAUAACGAAAAGUAAUGGAUGAAAUAAAAUAAAAAUCCAUCAAGAAGUACAAAAGCCAAAGCAAGAUGCAGGCUCUGGCUCAGUUAAUGAAAGCUGCUGAAGUCAAAGCCAGGAAGCUGAGCUAUGAGGCAGUGGUAUGGAGAUUUUCUUUUGUGGUCUCUUUCCUAAGUGCCUGCUGGUGGAGAAGGGCAAAUGUCCUUCCUAAACAAGACGCUUGCUCUAAUCUUUAUAUUACCAAUCUAAAAUAAGGCAGUGAAUAAAAAAGUACAAGCAGAGGUACAUACCG